UGUAUUGUUUGGUGUUCAAGAUCUUACGGUACUUUAUUUGUAUUUAUUUUUCCCACUUCAACUAAUAAGGUUCCAAUAAGUUUAGCAUUUUGUUAGAUCACAUUAUGAGUAGGUUGAUUGUUUAUUUUACCCUAUUUUGAAUGAGCUAGGCCCAAGAAAUAUUAUUAAUUGUCUCACCUCAAGUCUGUUAUUUUUUCAUUUAAGGUCAACCAUGUUUUUAAAACCAUUAAUGUACGUCAUAUGACUCGCCAUUAUUUGAUUGAUUGUGUACCUAUGUUUAUUAUCAUUUAAUAUUGUUAGUAAAUAGUUAAUGACAUAAACAUAUUGAUUGUUUCCUCAACUGUUGGUAAACUUAACGCAUUGACGCGAAUAACAAUUGUUUCAAAUUCUUUUAAGCUCUGAUGGACACAAUGAAGAUCAUAAUUCCACAUUCAAUCAUCUAGAUAACAAACCAUUUGACGUAACAUGUAAGGUACUUUUCUUGCCUUGACGUAACCACAACAAUGCCCACAAUAGGCAUUAAAAAAGUGUCAUUUUCCUAUUCAAAAAUUCAAUUUACAUUCACUCAAUUUGACUAAAAUAACAACAAUAACCUGUUAGAUUGAAAAACAUGGGAAAAUAUGUGACAUUGAAAUCAUUACAUUUGAUUGUUAUACACUGUAAUUGGACCAUAAACCAUAUUUGCCUGAUUAAUCCUCGGAUCCCCGUUAAAUCGUCAUAAACUAAUUUGAUAUUCCUGAUGACUCUCGUGUAAAUAGAUCAUUUGAUAAUUUCCAGAAUCUUCUGAUUCAUCCUUGUAAACAAAGAUGCCAUGAUUUACAAUAACAUUUGGUGGAAGCUGUUUAAACAUUUAAUUAACUAUGUAAUAUUAGUUAAUGAAGGAUGCCUUGAGGACGGAAAGACGUGCAAAUAUCAAUACAAAUCAUGUUCAAUUUGAUAAACAUGUUGGUGCUGCACCAUUCAACUCGUCUUAUGACAAUUUAGAAGGUCAAUUAAAUAUUGAUAAAAUUUAUCAAUGGCAAAGGUGUAAACAUGAAUAUGUUUACUUUGUUUCUAUGGCUGAUCAGUUCAUGAUUAAAUUGUGAUCGUUUCACUGGUUUAAAUGGCAUCUCAAUUAUGAUUUAUUUGGUGAAAGACAAGGAAGAAGCUCGGAACAACUUCAAUUUUCAAAUAUAUGCAUAUCAAGCUAAUCAAUGUACUUUUGGCAUGACAAUCAUUAUAUAACAACAAGGAAGUUUCAUUUGAUUAACUUAAUUCUUUUGCCCUUUAAUUCCUAUCAUUUGGUUAUCAACCAAUUAUCCGAGCAAACAUUAACCACAAAAAUAAGGGAAAAAUGAAAUGAAAUAUUAUAAUAUUUACAUCACAGCAAAGGGUUUUGCUAUAAAUAAACAAUUCUGGUUUUUUUAUUUUCUCCUCGUCAACAAUAAUAACUUGAUUUAAUUCCCUGUAAA